rnacentral:ncRNA from 1 species
CAAAAAUCAAUGACGAGAAGAGUACGAUAAGACCCCUGUUCCAAAGAGAAUCGGUGUGUUGGUGGAAGCCGGUGUCCAGGACUUAUCCGAAGAUCAUCUCUGAGAUGCAAAGCUGAAAUUAGUAAGCUUUGACGGGUUUUCCGCCGUUACUUUGGAUCACGUAUGAUGGUACGUUGACUGAGAGCCGUGCGUCUUUUUUUAUUAUGCUGCGGAAUAAGGGUGGUAACGCGAGCGCAAACUCGUCCCUAUA